GACGAACGCUGGCGGCGUGCCUAAUACAUGCAAGUAGGACGCAGUUGCGAACGGGUGAGUAACGCGUAGGUAACUGCCUAUUAGAGGGGGAUAACUAUUGGAAACGAUAGCUAAUACCGCAUACUAGUAGAUGGACCUGCGUUGUAUUAGCUAGUAGGUAGGGUAAUGGCCUACCUAGGCGAAGAUACAUAGCCGGCCUGAAAGGGUGAUCGGCCAAACUGGGACUGAGAAACCGCCCAGACUCCUUCGGGAGGGAGCAGUAGGGAAUUUUCGGAAAUGGGGGGAACCCUGACCGGGCAACGCCGCGGGAGUGAAGAAGGUUUUCGGAUCGUAAAGCUCUGUUGUUAAGGGAGCGGUACUUAACCAGAAAGGGACGGCUAACUACGUGCCAGCAGCCGCGGUAAUUC
rnacentral:rRNA from 1 species